GAAGUUCUUACAGCAUAAUAUGCAAGACACCGUGUUUUUCCUGUCCUAAAAGGCAUAUAUAUUUUUGAUGUUUUGUAGUAUGAUGGAUAUACUUCCUGUCCUCUGAUUACCAACUACAACCGAGCGAUCCUGGCUGAGUUUGAUUACAACGCUCAGCCUUUAGAAACAUUUCCCUUUGAUCAAAGCAAAGAGAGACUGAUAAGUUUUCAUCUGAAGGCUAACAUGAUGCCCCAUCUGUAUUGGUAUGGACUUCUGAAGGGAUAUUGGGGUGGUCCAGGUCUAGUGAGGAAAAUAUUUCACCUUGGGUUGAAGUAAUCGUUGAAACCAUCUUCUGCCAACUACAAAUCAUGUAAACGCUUAAAAAAAAAAAAAGCAUCCAGAGAUUCUCCACCGAAAUUAAUAAAAUAACUUCUCUGUAGGAAUCAACCUCCAGAGUCCUCUGCACCUUAAAA